rnacentral:rRNA from 1 species
CCUACGGGAGGCAGCAGUGGGGAAUCUUGGACAAUGGGGGCAACCCUGAUCCAGCCAUGCCGCGUGAGUGGAGAAGGCCCUAGGGUCGUAAAACUCUUUCGCCUGUGAUGAUAAUGACAGUAGCAGGUAAAGAAACCCCGGCUAACUCCGUGCCAGCAGCCGCGGUAAUACGGAGGGGGUUAGCGUUGUUCGGAAUUACUGGGCGUAAAGCGCACGUAGGCGGAUUAGAAAGUUAGAGGUGAAAUCCCGGGGCUCAACCCCGGAACUGCCUUUAAAACUACUAGUCUUGAGUUCGAGAGAGGUGAGUGGAAUUCCGAGUGUAGAGGUGAAAUUCGUAGAUAUUCGGAGGAACACCAGUGGCGAAGGCGGCUCACUGGCUCGAUACUGACGCUGANGUGCGAAAGUGUGGGGAGCAAACAGGAUUAGAUACCCUGGUA